rnacentral:rRNA from 1 species
CCUACGGGAGGCAGCAGUGGGGAAUAUUGGGCAAUGGGCGCAAGCCUGACCCAGCAACGCCGCGUGAAGGAAGAAGGCUUUCGGGUUGUAAACUUCUUUUAAGAGGGAAGAGCAGAAGACGGUACCUCUUGAAUAAGCCACGGCUAACUACGUGCCAGCAGCCGCGGUAAUACGUAGGUGGCAAGCGUUGUCCGGAUUUACUGGGUGUACAGGGCGUGUAGCCGGGCUGACAAGUCAGAUGUGAAAUCCCGUGUCUCAACCAGGGAACUGCAUUUGAAACUGUCGAUCUAGAGUAUCGGAGAGGCAGGCGGAAUUCAUAGUGUAGCGGUGAAAUGCGUAGAUAUUAGGAGGAACACCAGUGGCGAAGGCGGCCUGCUGGACGACAACUGACGGUGAGGCGCGAAAGCGUGGGGAGCAAACAGGAUUAGAUACCCCAGUAGUC